rnacentral:lncRNA from 1 species
CGGGACCUGCUCGAGUGAGGCCGGGAGCGGACCGCAGCCCGCUGGAGGUGCCGGGGGCGAAAUGCUGGCGUCUGCUCCUCCGUCUCCCAGAAUCCUGCCCUGGAAAAAACCAGCGCCAACCGCCGGUUUAACUGAGGACGGAUUUAAGGCAUUACGAAAGACAGCUUUCCCCUUUGCUCGGCUCUCCUUCUCUCUCCUGCUGCCCUGUGAAGAGGUGUCUUCUGCCAUAAUUCCACAACACAUGCGUGUAUCUUGCUUGGGCUAUCUUCCCUGCUCUGCCACGCCGGGUCUGGAGAAGGGGUUUCAGCCCCAGGACAUUUACUGAGAGUCGGCGAAUAUUGGGCAUUACUAGGGAUGUGAAUGGGAGACUGGUAUAGAAAGUGGUGAGGAGCCGAAGCCAAGAAAUUGCUUUAAACACAAGAUGAAAACGCUCUGUUCUGUCCACACAAAGAAUCACCUAAUACUGGUGUGAGGCAUCUCACUUAGCUGUGGAGAAGUCCUUGGAAUUAGAUCUCAGAAAGACAGUUCCAGCUUUAAGACAGUAAAACCUUUAGGCAAUGGGCUAAUUGCCUUAAAGGAAAGAAGAGUUCUACUUGAAAGAGCUUGCAGGUGAGAAAUUGUCCUACAAAGAUUCUUAGAAAUGUUAGCGGAGAUAACUGACAUGGGUAGCUGUGGGCCAACCAAGAACUGUCAACAGCCUGAUCUCAUAGCAAAGCUGUUUUCAAGAAAAAUUCCCUUCUGAGGGCCACAGCCUGAGCCCUGACCCUUGUCACAGCCCAACACUGCAGUCCACCCCACCGCCUGGGACACAACUCAAGAAUAUUAUCUCUUAGGAAGACACCUGUUUUGUUCUACCUGCAAAUCCUACCUCUGAGGACGGGGCAAGGACUGGCCCAAUUCCUAGGGCCUGUUUAGGAAUCCAGCCACGUGAUUGCUUCUGGGAGCAGGCCUGGCUGGGCCAGUGAGUGCUCAGCAGUUUUGGUGCAACUCAAUCAUCUGGUCAUGGGUCUCUUGUGGGAAGACAGGCCCCUUCCUUUCCCUCCCUGUCCUAAGAAUUGGGGGCCCUCCUCGAGACCCUCUAGGAUCCUGAGUGCCACUAGGGCAGGUGGAGAGGAGCUGAAAACUCUGCCCCUCUUUGUCCAGGGCCACGCAUCCUAUUGGAUGAGCAAAUACUACUCAGCUAGACUUUGUGCCUUCUGGGCAUGGCCAGGCCCAAAGGCUCCAUCCACAGGCAGGAAUGAAUACGUGUUGGAGGCCAAGGACCAGGGUGCUGGGACACUCUGCCAACUGCCCACUGAAAUCCCAGCCCUCUCAGGAAAACUCUAGUUUCUGUCCAAAGGUUUGGCCAAUGCACAGAAUGGUCCCCAGCCUCUG